GGUGUCGGCUUAAGUGCCAUAACGAGCGCAACCCUUGCCUUCAGUUGCCAUCGGGUGAUGCUGGGGACUCUGGAGGGACUGCCACCGCAAGGUGCGAGGAAGGGGGGGAUGACGUCAAAUCAGCACGGCCCUUACAUCCGGGGCUACACACGUGUUACAAUGGGGGGUACAGAGGGCCGCCAUCCGGCGACGGAGCGCCAAUCCCUAAAGCCCCUCCCAGUUC
rnacentral:rRNA from 1 species